GAGGUUGUGACUCAGUGGUAGAGCGCUCACCUAGCACGUAUGAGGCUCUGGGUUAGAUCCCCAACACCACA
rnacentral:tRNA from 1 species